rnacentral:misc_RNA from 1 species
UGCGCGCCCUGCCGACCCU